UUCCUCUUCACUAAUGUAUGAUGAAGUCUCAAUGAAUGUACAGAUUCAAGAGGUCAACUACAACAACAAAGAAACAAGCUUAUCAACGAAAAACAGACGAAGUGGAAAGGUUAGUUUUUCACCUGUUUUUUCGUCUAUGAUUGGAGCAGUUUCGCCUCUUGAAGAACAAGCUUUCAGACGGGUUAGAGGUGAAAUGGUUGAUUGAUAGGUGGAGAUGUGGAUGAAGUUUUGAAAAGGACAACUCUUCACUUUCCUCUUUCCACUUUUAGUUCUGUCCAGAUUUUAAUUCUUUUCCUUUCUAAUUUCUCUUUAUUUGUUUGUUUAUUGUUUUCUUUAUUUCCUUCCUUUAUUGAUUGGGCCUGCUGACUUGGGCCUGAUCAUUGAUGUAUAUUGCUUUUAUUUUGAUUAAUAAAAUCUGGCCCUUUGGCCUUUUAGUUAAAAAAAAACAAAAAAAAACACUUGUGCAAUCAAAUAAUACACUUAUAAUUAUACUAUAAUUAUGUUACAAUAAACAAACAAAAUCAUCACCAUUACUAUAUUGUUAAAUUAUAACAACUGUCUUAAUAAUUACACUAAUUUCAAUUCUUAAGGCAAAACAAUGUAUUACUAUAAUAUGAUUUUGUCUCAAAUCAUUUUAAGUUAUUGAGUCAAUGCAAUUUGAGUCUUACCUUUAAUCUCUAUUUUUCGAGGUACGUAUGUGUAUACUUUGAAAUAAUUUAUAUGCUUUAUUUUCUUUAAUAAAUUCUAAUUUUAUUUAAGCUCUUAUAAUAUUUGAUUUUCAAAGUAAAUAAUUUAUUACUAGAAUAGUAAAAACUGAAUAUAUUUAUUAUCCAAGUCUAAUCAAUAUCCAUAACCUCUACCCCCUAAAAAUUAAAAAUUUCUAAGACUAAAAUCUCCCCAAACAAUUUUAAACCCACUACCCCUUUUUCCAUUACCAAUUAAACUCCCCACUCCCCCAAUUCCUUUGGUCACGUCAACCCACUUUCUCCCCUCACCCCUCAUCUUUUCUUAUCUCAUGCUCUUGUUCAAUUCCAAAUUUUCUUAUACGUAUAUUUCCUAAUUGAUUUUUUCUUUUGUAAAUUUUAUGAAGUGAAAUUCUUCAAGUAGACGAGAUAUGUUUGUAUAAUAUGAGGAUUGAAUCGUAACAUUUAUGUGAAUGUCAAGAUUAUUCUCUUUUCAUGUUGUUUUUAGGAAUUACAUUAGAAUUUGAGAUUUAUAUCUUUAUUUUAAUAUAUAUAUAUAUAUAUAUAUAUAUAUAUAUAUAUAUAUAUAUAUAUAUAUAUAUAUAUAUAUAUAUAUAUAUAUAUAUAUAUAUAUAUAUAUAUAUAUAUAUAUAUAUAUAUAUAUAUAUAUAUAUAUAUAUAUAUAUAUAUAUAUAUAUAUAUAUAUAUAUAUAUAUAUAUAUAUAUAUAUAUAUAUAUAUAUAUAUAUAUAUAUAUAUAUAUAUAUAUAUAUAUAUAUAUAUAUAUAUAUAUAUAUAUAUAUAUAUAUAUAUAUAUAUAUAUAUAUAUAUAUAUAUAUAUAUAUAUAUAUAUAUAUAUAUAUAUAUAUGUAUUUUGCAGACGGUUAAAUUUAAUAUAACAAUACUUUUAUAUAUAUUUAGGAUAUUUCUGAGUUCUCAUUACAUCAUAAAGAAAAUUAUAUUUCACCUUCAAUUGGUUGCAGAUAAGCAUCAAUUUUGUUUUUGUUUAGAUCUACGAACGAUGAUUAGUGUUUUAUAUGAACUUGUGUUUUUAUACAAAUAUGUUUAUCAAUAAAUAUUUAUCUAAUCAAAGUUCUUAUUAUUUCAGUCAAGGUACAUGAAGAUUGAACUUACUUCACCUCAAAUAGAAGAUAAGGUGACAACAAUACUCCAAUCACCAAACAAAUGCAUAGCACUUUUGUAUUUUGUUUGAUAUGGAACUAUUUUAGAUUUUUGAGCAUUUAAAGAUGUAACGUUCAAGUUCUUAUACAUAAGUUUGUAUCACUUUAGUUUGACAUAAAUUUAAACUUGCAAUACUUUUUACUAUGGAUUUGUUUAAUGAAAUUUGAUUUUCAUUAAAUGUUUAGUAAAGUAUUUAAUUAUAUGUAUUAUCAAAAAGGCAUGGUGUAAAUUAAACAUUUAUUUUCUUAUAAAAAAAUAAUUUGUGGCGGUCAUAAGGCUGCAUAGAUUAGAUUAUGCACACCUUCAUUGGAACCAGAAAUCAGUGCUAGCUCCAUUUCCAAUCCGUCAUUUUUGGCCCUUAAGUAUUGGUUGGAUUGCCUGAAUUUUUUUUCAAAACCUCCUAUAGAUUAGGCUGAGAUCUUAUCCAUUUGUAGAUGGAGCUUCGAUAGCAGCUAGGUCUAGAGGGAAGUUAUGAGCAUUAAGUGUUGAUAUCAUUAUUCUUGUAAUUCUAAAUUCAUAAAAAAUAUUUUUUUAAAAAAUACAAAAUGAUAUUAUUGAGGUUGUAAACAGUCACAGAUUGAUUUGAAAACCUCCACAAAUUGAAAAGUAAAUUUCUGGCGGUUGUCAAGGAGGUUGCUUAAAACCACCACAAAUAUGCUCGUGGCAAUGAUAAUUAUAGCGUUUUUAACAAUCGUCGCAAUUCAAAUUGUGGAGGUCAAAAAUUGCCUCAAAUUGACAAAAUAACCCCUACAAAUUGAGCAUUUUCUUGUAGUAUAUUUAAAGUACUCACUGAAAGAUUAACAACUUUUGUUACCACUCAUGUGUAUUCCUCCGAGAACAUGCAAACUGAAGAAACUUAUCCACACUAGUUAUGUAACUAUGAAUUAAUACCCCUCUCGACCAUCCAUACUCUCGUACAUCCAACCAUACUCUAGAUUAACCAUGUUCCUAUUUGGUAUUGAAACAAACAAUAAAAUAAGAAUUUUUUUUUAAUAAGUAACACAAUCAAAAUUUCUUCUAUAAGUAGGAACAAGUUCAAUUUAAAAAGAAGAUUUGAAAAUUUGAAGCCACACAAUUCCCAACUGAAAUUUUUAUCAUUUAAACUAGGGAUAAGGGUCUGAAAAAUAUCCCAACUUUGGUCGAAUUUGCUGUUGCGAUACUAAACUUUCAUAAGGACCUAUUACCUCUCUAGACUAUUUAAUACCAUAUUUUUUACCCCCUGAACUAUUUAAUAGUGUAUUUUAAAGGUAUAUAUGUGCCCACGUGGACACAUUACUAUUUAUAAUUUUGCAUUAUUUUUUAUGUCCACGUGGACAAAUAUAUAUGUUUAAAAUACGGUAUUAAAUAGUCUAGGGAGGUAAUAGGUCCUCAUGAAAGUUUAGUAUCGCAACAGCAAAUCCGACCAAAGUUGGGGUAUUUUUCAGACCCUUAUCCCUUUAAACUACGUACAAACGAGAAAGGAAGAAAUUCAAAAGACGAACUAAAACUAUAGAUCUGACACUCAAAAAUUGCUAUGUUUUCUUAUGGUAACAAAUAAUACACCCAUUCACAUAUAUAAAAACUUACAGCAACUACAUGAAGAAUAUUAAAGAGAAUGGGGAAGGCAUUACAAUAUCCUGCACUUACUGUCCUUGUAGAAAAUUAGAAAAAUUAUAUGAAUGAAAUUCCUAAUCAAUGUGAGUGAAAGUUGGCUCGGACACCACGAUCAUCAAAAAUUAGAAAGGUGCAUAAAAGUAACACAUUAUAUAAACAUAUACAUGUGUGAAUCUCCCAAAAGAUUUUCAGUGUACUAACAGAUCUCCGAGGAAGUGGGAGAGUUGGCAAAAUAGCCACUCUAAAAGACUUAAUGUGACAUUAAGUCACAAGUCUUGAAUAAUUUGUGGUAUAUCCACUAUUAAUGACAUCAUCCAUAUGCCCUAAUUGGCACAUACAAAAGACCUCCCUAAGUUUCCAUAUCUCCACUUUGGUCCCCCUCCAACAAAUAUGGAAUAAUAUAUUUAUUUGCAAUUGUUAAAAUUUAUAUUAGAAAAAAGAAAAAAGUCUCCAAACGGAAACAAGAGCAGUUUGUUUUUGCUACUGUCGAUUUAUCGAUUCUGGCGAGUUUUUUGGUCGUAAUAUCCAUUUCCAAGGUAAAAUCAUCAUCAUCUCCUACUCCAUAUUCUUGUUUACUCCAUUUUCUUUAAAAAACCAAGCUUCAAAAUUAGUUUCCCGCCAUUUUAGAAAUGUGAAAAAUCUUCCAUAAUAAUCACUUGAUAACUCAUUAUAGAUACAUUUUAGUAGUUUAAAAGCAUUAAAAAUCUGUUUCGCCAUUGCAGGAGCUGCAUUGUGAACCACGAUCUCAUUCAGUCGCGUUUUUGUACGAAUGUCGUACUUCAUCGAUCGUUAACGAUUGAUACUGUAAUCUAGUAGCUAUCUUUGAAGUCUAUAAUGACAGUAGCUGGAUUUGUUGUUGCUGGUGGUAAUUAUAUGGGAGUAUGAGAGGAGACUCCCAAAAGCUGGAAUUGGAAAUCUUUUAGUAAGAUGACAGUGCCCAUUGCGUUGCAUCGCAUUGGUUCAUAUGAUGAUAUGAUUGCAAGCGUAAUUGAGGCGGUGAGUUAACUUGCGAGCCAAAUGACUUGGUGAUUAGCUAUCAAAUGAAUGGGAGGGGAAAAAUACAUCCCACGUUCAUAAAAAAUGAUAGGCAUGUGAGCUUGUACAUGUUAGAUAUUGGUAUUGAUGUCUCUAGGCCUACAUUGAGGAUAAACGUCAAUGCGAGGCCUCCAAUUGAACCAACGAAUUCAUUUAACGACGACAAUGAUUUGAUUGGAAAUGAAAGAUUAGGUGAUCAUUCAAAGGAGAGCUUGGGUGAUAAUUCAAAUGAGAGUUUCAGUGAUCAUUCAAUGAAUAUACACGAUGAUCUAACUAACGUGGAAAAUCAGCCAGUAGAUGCGGAAGAUCUCGAACCCAAAUGUUGUGAAGAAAUGCAGGAAGAACAGGAAUUGGGAUCACAAUCCAACCAUUCCUUCUCCGAUGGAACUAAUUUAUGCAUAAACCAAACUUUCAGUAAUGAGAAUGAGUUGCAAUUGUUAUUAGCCGAAGCGGCGACAAAGAAGUCUUUUGAUUUUGCUACUGUGAAAAAUUGUACUAAAUACUUAAAGGUGAAAUGUGUAUCUCGCAAUUGUGCAUGGAUGUUGCGGGCAAGAAAAUAUGAGUGUUCAGAUAGAUUUCGUAUCUAUAAGUACAUUUGCGAACAUAGUUGUGGUGUUGAACAUGCCAACAGUAGCCAUAGAAAAAUUUCAGUCAAAGUUAUUGCUUCACUUUGUGUAAAUAUGUAUCGUGAUGGAAAGGGUCCAAAUGUUAAAGAGAUUCAAAGAGCUAUGUUUAAUUCUUUUCAAUGUAGUCCAAGAUAUUGAAAAUGUUGGAAGGGUGGUGUGGUUGCCAAGGAAAUGGUCUGAGGGAUAGCGAAGAACUGAUAUUCAUGCUUACAGGCUUUUUCCUACAUGUUCGAGACACUUAAUGUUGGUUCUAGAUAUUGUAUCAUGGUAAACAAGGAUAGUCAUAGGUUCAUGUAUUAUUUCUUGGCCUUCGGUGCUUACAUUAAGAGAUUUGCCAACAUGAGAAAGGUAAUUGCGGUUGAUGGCACUCAUUUACAUAGUAAAUACGAGGGCGUGUUGUUGAGUGCUGUUGCACAAAAUACGGAGAAUCAUACUUAUCCAAUUGCCUUUUGUGUCGUGGACAAAGAGAAUGAUGCAUCUUGAACAUUCUUCUUUGAGAAGUUGAAGGAGAUUGUGGUCGAUGAACCAGAUUUGUGUUUUAUCUCCGAUAUACACAAUAUUAUCGCCAAUGGUAUUAUGAACGUUUACAAUCAUUCCCACCAAGGAUAUUGUAUGAGGCACCGGUGAAAAUCUCCACGUAAAUCAUCAUUGUGGAGAUUACCUUUAUCUUUACUACAAUGCGGCAAAAACUUAUUCUUUGGAGGAGUUUGCCAAUCAUUUUGUAAAUUCAAGAACAAAUGCCGCGGCAGCCAUCGUCCUUGAGUAUGAUAUUGAUUUUGAGAAGUGGAGCAGGGCACGUUUUCCUGGCAAUAGAUAUGAUGUGAUGACCACAAAUAUCGCCGAGUCACUCAAUGCUAUGUUGAUAGAUGAAAGGGAGUAUCCCGUGGCAUCAAUAUUUAAUUUGAUUGCUAAGCGGUUUGGAGAAUUGUUCAGGGAGAGACAUGCAUAUAUCCUUAAAUCAAUGGAUAAUCAAAUGGUGCCUUCUGUCGAAAAAAUCACAAGAAAAAAAAUGAUCGAGGACGACUCCUUAUAUGUGGAGAACGUAACUGGUGACGGCAAUUAAUUUACCGUGUUCGGUGCAAGUGUUACUGCCUAUGUGGACCUACUGAAAAAGUCAUGUUCUUGUAGGAAAUAUGACUUGAUCAAGAUACCUUGUGCUCAUGCGAUGACCACUUUGCGAUCAAAACAUGGCAAUGAGUAUGGUAUGAGCAUCUAUGAGUAGUCUUCGCCUUUGUAUAAAGUUGAAGCGUACCUUCUUGCAUACAUGGAUUCUAUUAAUGUUGUCCCUCUCGAGUCGGAAUGGUGUGUGCCAGAAGAAUUGCUUAAUGUGAAGAUUCUUUCGCCUCUUGUCGAUACCAAGCUUGGAAGAAAAGAAGAAAACGUGUCGAAGGCAUCGGUGAAAAUUUCAAGAGCAAGCGAAGGAACAAAUGUUCAAUUUGUAAGAGAACCGGACAUAAGAGAACUACAUGUGUGAACAACAACAAAUCUUAAACAAGCUUGAUUGAAUUUGUUUUUGUAAUCAAGCUACUAUUUUUUUUGCUGCCAGCAUUUUGUCAAUUUAGUGUCAUCUAUUAUCGUAAUUAGUCGUGAUCUAAUAUAGAUCAAUCAAAAGAUGACAUACAUUUUGUACGCUAUCUAUUAAUGUUUAUUAUCGAGUCCAACCGUUCUCUAUUAAACUGUGUAUUAUUAAUAUAUGAAAAAUCAUGGUAUUCAUGAUGCAAUGAUUUUAAUACAUGAAAUAGAAUGAUUAAAGAAGGAAGUGUUGUAAAAAAAGAAGUCAUGAUCUGAAGUUGUGUAUUUAACGCAUGUGUAUUAUUAUUAUCAUGCAUGUUAUUUUUAAUGCACCAAAUCAAACUAUCCAUAAGAAAUAAUCUAAGUACAACUAAUCCAAAAAUGACUAAUACAAACAUUAUCUGAAUAUACACUCUACCAAAUGACCCUUAAAGAAUUAUCAAAAAAUCAUAUGUUACUAUUGAAAUUUGUAUAUCAAAAUAUGUAUUGGUUGUCAAAAUAUAUAGCCCCUUAUACAAUCGAUGCAUCUAUAUGUGCGUGGUAUGUGUAUGACCAAUGAGAUUUACACUCUGGCAUUAGUAAGGUAUAUUCGGGUUUAUAUCUAUGUUAAAGCAUUGUCGAUACUGCACCUACUAGAAUAUGACACCUAUAUAUAGACCAAAACUAGUAGAAUUUUAAAAAGACAACAAUAAUAAAUUAUAUUUUAAAUUUUUUUCCAAUUAAAUAAGUUUAAACAAGUCAUAUGAUCAUGUAAGAGUCCACAUGAUUUGGGUGUGGUGAUUAGAGAUGUAUGAGGAAGAGUUAUGGUUAUACAAUCAACAUCCUUAGAAUAAUGUUUGAGAAAUCAUAAGUAUAUUGUAAGGAUGUCACUUGUUAUGUGUGGUUAUACAAUCAACAUCCUUAGAAUAAGUAUGUGAUCAUGUAUGAGUUUACAUAAAUUGGGGGUGGAAAUCAACAAUGUGUGGUUGAACAACAUGUGAUCAUCCUCACAACAUACUUAUGCUUUCUCAAACAUUGUUCUAAGGAUGUUGAUUGUAUAACCAUAACUCUUCCUCAUACAUCUCUAAUCACCACACCCAAUUUAUGUGGACUCUUACUUGAACAUAUGACUUUUUUUUUAGCUUAUUUAAAUGGAUAAAUUUCAAAAAUAUAAUUUAUUAUUAAUUAAUUAUUGUCCUUUUUAAAUUCUACUACUUUUGAUCUAUAUAUAAGUGUCAUAUUCUAGUAGGUGCAGUAUCGACUAUGCUUUAACAUAGAUAUACACCCAAAUAUACCUUACUAAUGUCAGAGUAUAAAUCUCAUUGGUCAUACACACACCACACACAUAUAGAUGCAUCGAUUGUAUAGGGGGUCUAUGUAUUUUGACAACCAAUACAUAAUUUGAUAUACAAAUUUCACAACGGUAAUAAAAGUUCAAAUGCUACUUUUCAACGAUAACAUUUGAUUAUUUUUUUUGUAUAAAAGGAAGGCAAUCCCUUAUAAACAACUCAAACACCUCCAUUUUUACAAUGUCUCGAGCAUUUCAAACAUCCAAUGCAAAAAAGUCUUACAAUUGUCAUUGUGGUAAUCCAGCUACGUUGAGGAUAUCACACACCGAUACAAAUCCAGGUCGACAAUUCUUUAAUUGUGCUGUUGGCAUAUGCUCUUUUUUUAGGUGGCUUGAAAAUGAAUCAUCAACGAGUAGCCCAUCAAAUUUUCAAGGCAUUGCCAAAUUUGAAAUAUUAAAAAAGCUACGGGAAUCCGAAAAAAGUAGGAAAAGAACAAACCACUUUAAUCUUGUUCUUAAAAACCAACUAUUUCAAAAACUAAUUGUCUUGAAAAACCAUCUCAAAAAACCAAUUGUCUUCAAACCAUGGAAAACCCAACUAUUACCAAAACCAAUUGUCAUCAAACACUAACUAUUUCAAAAAUUGUCCUAAAACACUAGGGAAUACCCAUCACAAAAACCACAAAUGCCCUUACUCAUCACCACCAACCUCACCGUUAAGCUCCAUCAUAAUACCCAUCACGUCUAUUUCUUUUUCCAGUUUUGCCACAUCAGUGGCCAAGCCUUCUUCUUCCAACUUUUCCUCUUCUUCAUUCUCUGUUAUCUUCUCCUCUUGUUGUUCUUUCUCUUAUUCUCCACUUGAUUUAUUUUCUUCAUUUUUCUUCUCUUCCAGAUUCUCCUCUUCACUUUCUUCUUCUUUCUUUUCUUCUAGCUUCUCCUCUUCUUUUUCUUCAUCGCUCUCUUCGAGGUUCUCUUUUUCUUUUUCUAUCAUCUUCUCCCCAUCUUGUUCUUUCUCUUCUUCUUUCAUCUCAUCUUCCUUCAUCUCUUCAUCAAAUUCUUCAACAAAGUAUUCAUCAACUUCUUCAGCAAAGUAUUCAUCAACUGCAGCAAGAUCAUCAUCGACUAUAGCUAAUGGAAGGAUCUCGUCAUCAAUUGUUGGUGCUGAAAAGUUGUCAUCAUCUAUUGCAAGAUCAGUGGCUAAGCACUAAUAGAAAUAAUUUUUUUUGCAGAAAUAAUAUAUAAAUUUAUCUUCCUUUCCUUUUCUUGUUCUUUUCACUUCUUCUCAAUUUCUUCUCUCGUACAUAAGCAACAAUUUCCAUCAUUGAUUGCUCGAGUGAUGCAACACGCUCGCACAGACUUUCAUCUUUAGAAGUACUUGGUACAGAAUUCUCACAAGGUUGAUUAGGAUUGUGAUCACUUAAAUACUCAUCCUCCACAUUCUCUACUACUAAAGUAAGGACAGUCACACCUUUCAAAUUUGCCUUUAAGGCAACGAGGAUUGUAUCCUUCACUUCGUCCACAUAUGGCUUUAAUAUUGCCAAGUAAUUCUUUUUUAUCUCACGAACAGUAGGUGUGAGGUAUGGGUGCACAACCUACGCAUAUAUAUAUAUAUAAAUAUUACAUGACAUUCAUCAAUUUAUAAAUAUUACUAAAUAAUGAUAAAUAAACUUUGUACCUUUGUACUUAAAUAGAUCACCUUCGAUAAUAUUAUCAUUUUUGGCGGUGUGCCAUCUAAGUAAACAGGGAAUGGGUAAAGAAGAAUCCAAGGACUUCUUGGCAUACUUUCCAAGAUGAGGAAAAGACUCAUAUAUCCAAACCUGGAAUUAAUAGAAGAACAAAUAAAUAAACAUAGGCUAUAAAAUACUACACAAAUAUAUAAGAAUUUAUCAUAAAUCAACUACAUAAUUUAUAAGAAGUACCAGAAAUGCCCAGGGAAAGCCAUACAGAGCAUACAAUGCACUUCCUCUUUCAUUAAAUACUUCACUCUACUUCUUCAAAUUGAUUUUAUUCUUCAGAUAUGCCAAUGUUAAAUUAAAACUCUCUUUUCCCCCCAUAGAUAACUAUUAAAGAAAUCUAAAUCAUACACCAUCUUAAUGUGGCUUGAAUCCACAAUUUUAGAUCGAUCAUGGGCAAGUAGCAUCGUGUGGAUGAACAAAACCAACGAGCACUUCAACUUUUGCUCCUUAUUCAACUUGGAACCCUUGAUCAAACGCAUCAACUUUGUAGCAGCAAUAGACUUAUUCUUAGUCACCUUGUAGUAAAAUUUCUCACCCUUUUCAAGAAUUUUUUUCAAUUUUGUAUCACGGGGGUAUGAUGAGUAAUUCAGCCCCGUAAUCAAUGCAAAUUCUCUUAAGCCAAAACAAGUAGGGUUAUCAUUCACACAAAGCCAAAUUUCAUAAUUUUUUGUCACUUUUCACACGUGCAACAACAUAUAAUGGACCAUCUGUCCAUUGAACUUGAAAUGUUCUGGAAUAUGCCUCAAGUGUCCAAAACAAGUACCUUUAAAAUCAUCAUAAAUUUUUUCUUGAACUAGAAGAUUUAUUAAAUCACGAUAAGCAGCCAUCCUUGCUCUAACAUAAAUUUUUGCUGGAAAUGAUCCUACUUCAUCUAUCCAUGUCUUUAAAUCAUACGACUUACCAGAAAUGUCUUUUGCACAAAUUGGCAAAGACAGGGGAUCUUCAUCCUCAUCACCAGUUUAGGUAUCUCUACUAUUCUCAUUUUAACUAUCACUUUUAUCAUUACUAGAUUCAACAUCAUCACUAGACUGGGCACUACUGUCCUGGUAGUUGUCAAUCUCAGCCAUUGUAUCAGAAUUAGAGUUUGACUGAUAUUCUUUCACAACAUUAUUCUUCUUUUUUGAAGCUUUGGAAACUUCUUUAGCCUUCAUUUUCUUAUUUUUAGAAGCAUUAGGACCAGAUCGUUUAAUGAUGCCACCUAUAGUUUUAGCCAUACUGUACUAUAUACAAGCAAAAAUAAAUUUGUCAUAUCAAAAUAUCGACCACUAGUCUAUUAGCACUAUCAAAGCUUACAUUAAAAACAUAUACAAAAGAAGUAGCAGUUCAAACAAAAAUUGACAGUAAAAUCGCAAACAUAAAACUUUAAAAUCGAUCAAAAUAUAGUAAAAGUUUUCAAAUCGCUAACAUAAAACUUUCAAUAUUUUUAUGCAUUAUCCAAAUCAAAACGUCAUUAACGAUGCCGAAUCAGAAACAUAAACUAAAAAGGGUCAGAUUUUUAAAAGUUUAAGCAAAAAUCUAAACUUCACUACACUAAAAGUUACUGGAAAUACGAUGAUGAAACUUACCUGAGAGGAAGAAGAUUGAACAAGAUUCAACUGAACUUGGGGAAGAAGAUUGAACAAAAUAGACCUGAUUCACUUCGUUUAAAAUCUUCAGGAACUAUUAUGGGAUCUUACGUUUGCUUAUGGUUUUAAGAAUAGAAGAUUGGAAAGGUUGGUUCUUGGAGAAAGGUGUUUUAUGGAGGUUUACGAAAUCGAUAACGCUGGUAUAUGGAAGAUCAAAAGCCACAUUGGAGAACAAAGUUCUGAGGUUUCAUCGAAAAAAGGGUUUUCUGAUAACCCAAUAUAUUAGUUUUUUUUAUAUUGGGAUUGUACUUUAUUUUUGGAGGGAUUAAAUUUAUUUAAUAUUUGAAGUGUUGGGAAGAAAAUGAUUUUUCAAAACUUGUAUUUUGCCCCUAAAUUUUUAAAGUGUUAAAAAGACCCCUGACCCCACAGGCCAACCCCACUUUUUGACUUUUUCUUAAAGUAAACGUAAAAAAAAAAGAAAAAAAAAAAGAGAUGGCUAUGGACUAAAUUAAGUUAUAUUGAUGGGCAGUGGGCACUAUAGCUUUCCGUACAACACAACACGACAGAGCAGUUCUAUUCUCUUAAGAAAAUUGUUGUCCAGUCAAUAAUUAAAAAAAAACCUUUGCUAAGAUAAAGAUCCUCAUAUGAUAUGUCAUAACACAUGUAUGUAUCAAGACAUUGAAAACAAAGAGCACAAAACAAUAAUACGAGAUGACUAAACAAAACAAAAUAUUUCAAUUACACAUUAAAUCCAUCAAAAGUAUAUCUCAAAAUGAAAUAACUACCUUCUAACCAAUGGAUGAUAAGAAAAUCACUUUGUUGGACAUAGUUUACCAAGAAACCCCAAGUUUUUUUCUAGAUUUCAAGCUCUACGGAGAUCUCUUGCCCCCCUUGGAGGCUGGUAAACUCAAAGGAUACAAAUGACAAGAUUAAUCAUUAUAGAGUAUAUAAAAGGAUAAUUUUUUACAUAGCCUAAAAUGUCAACAAAUUUGUACCAAAAUUUAUGAAUGAAUGAACAAUAUUUGGUAACAAUUGUGCUUCAAGAAGAAUAAGAUUCUCAAUCCAAUGGCUACACAUAUACAUCUCCAGCAAUAGAAGAAGAAAAUGGAACGACGAAAUUUUGUUAGAUGGUAAUUUUUGGAUUUACGGGUCUUGAGAGAUAAGGUCUAGGAUUUUCAAGUCUUUUGUGGGGUAAAAAUAAAAUAAUUGGGAAAACUGUGUUCUAGUAUUAUUAUUUUCAUUUUAUUUUUAAUGAAAAACUAAAUGACAUGUCUAUACACCGCCAAAUUAGAGUAUUAACGACCAGUUGACAAUAGGUUUAGGAACCAGAUUGAGUCCCUUCACUAAUUAAGAUAAUAAAAUUGUAAAUUAGGGACCAGAAAAUAAUAUUGUCCCUAUAAAUAAGCUUUUAAGGGUGAUUUUUCCUACCGAUCAAUAAAAAUUGGCCAUAAAAACCCCUUUUCUUAUAGUGAAUCUUAUAGCCUCUCAUUCAUAAAUGUGGCGCGCUUCACACUCAUGAACAAGACUCUACUCGAAGUGGCUUAUGAGACAUCCUAGAACCUUUCUAAACCUUGUGAUUUGAAUACCAAGUUUAUCACGACCCAAAGUACACCUUAGUCGUAACAUGGUGUAUAAAACCCCAAGAGGCCCUACACAAGCCACUUAGAAUAUAUCAUACAAGAUAAUAGAAUUCAAAAGAGUUCAAAAGAUAAUUUUAUAUCAUAAAGAGUUUGACAAAAGUAGAAGUUUAACAUUUGUCUCAGUAAGCCAUCUAAUACAUCAUAAUAAAAGUGAUUGGGACGUAACCCAACAACACAUACAAAGUCUGAAACUGAAAUGACAAAAACUAUAAAAGUGACAUCAUCCUCGAAGUAUGAGGACUCACCAAGUCUUCAAAUCUCUAAGGCGAAAUGGUCUGGUAGACCAUUGUACUUGUAUGUGUUUGUAUUGUGAACCCUUCUAUUUAUUCAUUUGUCAUCUGAACCCCUGAACUCAUCAAAACACAAUAUUUUAAACACAUUUUUUGAGUUGGCAUCCUAUGUGGCAGUUACUACUAAAGAGCGUGUGACACACACCUAUUAGGAGCGUGAGAUCCUUGGAAAAGGGUCUGACAGUCACAUUAGGGCUUUGUAAAGCCAUCAUCUUUCUAUUUGCAUAUAACACCAUUGUUGGACAAAAUUUGAGGUUUUCUUGGCCUCUUUUCCGAUCUCUUUCCCAAAAAUUUCUUCUCUAUCGUUUCUUGUUAUUAUACGGCUCUCUUUUUCUAUGAAAAACACCAUGGAAGGCAUAACACUACUACCGAAAUAUCUUACACUAACAUUAGGCACAAAAAUGCAAAAUCCCCAAAGAAUUUCAACAAAGUCAAUGUAAUUGAUUAGAACCCCAAAACCAAACAAAGACACAAAUAGAGAUCAAAUCCAAACUAAAUAACAAAUAAAUUGGAAAACCUACCUAGAUAAGUUGAAAAUCAAACAAAAAAACUCAAAUAAUUUUUGACAUUGACCCCUUGUUUCAGUUCCAAACCAAACCCAAACUUAUUGCCUUCUUCUCGUCCUCCUCACCUUCUCCGACCAAACUACCUUCGUUCUCACCAUUUCCGACAAGCUUCAACCAACAACUAUAAAUGAGAACCAACAACAACAACAACAACAAAAAACCCAAACUAACUCUGCCAAUAAGUCUCGACUUUCACAACACCGCCAGUUGUGAACAACUAGAAACAAUCAGACCACCCAAUAGACCCCCACUUUUCCUUAGCGCCACCGGUCACCACCAAAACCCCAAUCCAACAUAACCCAAAAUCAACUCCGAACUCCAACGAGAUUGUGAACAACCAGAAAUCGUG
rnacentral:lncRNA from 1 species